GUAGACCUGAUUCUAACUUUAUGGCUCAAACCAAUAGGACAAUUUGCUGAGGUCUGAGAGCAACCCCUCCAGAGAAUCCCUGAUCUCUCAAAAUUUGGUCAAGACCUAAAGUUUAUUUUGCUGUACAACUCAUUUUUUUUUUUUUUUUUUGGAGUUUUACUUGUUUCCAACAAGGAAGGCAAGACUUCCUGUUUCCAUAAUGAUAGAAACAGGUAAAUCCUUUAUGGAGUUUGAGCUCACUUCCAACAGGGAAGAUGGAAUUUUUUGUUUGUUUUUUCCUCCUUCUAGAAUGGUAGAGAGCAGUCUAUAGUCGGAGACCCAUCCCUAGGUUUCUGAUCACUUUGGAGAUUGUAACACUAGAAUAGAGGAAAAACUUUCGGGACUCUCAUGGAGAGCUGAAAUGUUCAUGAGUAUCAAGCAGAACAGGAGCUGUGCUUUUGUAAAGCCCUGCGAACUGAAGCUUGACAACUUAAACUUCAGAAGCAAUAACAGCAACGCAUUUACAUACAUAAGCCACUUUCAUACCUGCCUACUGAUGUAUGGACUCCAGAGUAAUGUGGCCUAUAUUAAUUUUCCAGGAUUAUAAUUUUGUUUGUGGUUGUUUUUCUCCCUUCCUUCCCUUAUUUUCUCUUCACGGGACAUGAGACUUUACAACCUGUUAAAAAUGAGCUUUCCUAAUACCUUGGGAUCUACCUGUCUAAGAAUAAACCAUCCUAAUCAUGAAAGAUCAGAUGAAACCUGAUACCAGAGACUCAUUUUCUUCUAAAAUGCUUCUCCAAAAGAUUUUUGAAAAGAGAAGGGGGAAAAUGUGAAUGGAAAAGAAGUUGUGGGGUCCCCAAAUCGCUAAGCUAAAGGGAAAAAGUCAAGUUGGGAACAGCAUAGGGUCAAUCUGCCUCCCAUUCUAUUAAAAGUCACCCUUCAGCUCACUGAGAUAAAUACACAUCUAAUUGCCUCCUUUGGAGGGGUUAAUCAGAAACUCAAAAGAAUGCAACCAUUUGUCUCUUAUCUACCUAUGACUUGGAAGCCCCCUCCCUGGUUUGC